UCUUCACUGGUCCUUAUUAUCUCACCUUUGUGUCUGCCUUCAGGCACCGCACUCUGGGAGUACAGACCACGGCAACAGCUUGUGCUUGGAACAGCGCCAGGAAUAUGUAAGCAGCGUAAGCCAAUGCUCUGGUUGAAGACACUGCUUGACAUCAUGUUUUUCCAUGUCCUGUUUUCUCCCAUGGCCAACAAAAAGAAAAGCUUCUUUUGGUGCAGGCCCAAGACCACCAUGAUCAUCCUUGAUUUCACAUCUCCGCCCCCAGGUCUCUAAGUAAAAUCUCUCUCCUUUCACUCACA